rnacentral:rRNA from 1 species
UACGGAGGGGGCUAGCGUUGUUCGGAAUUACUGGGCGUAAAGCGCACGUAGGCGGCUUUGUAAGUUAGAGGUGAAAGCCCGGGGCUCAACUCCGGAAUUGCCUUUAAGACUGCAUCGCUAGAAUUGUGGAGAGGUAAGUGGAAUUCCGAGUGUAGAGGUGAAAUUCGUAGAUAUUCGGAAGAACACCAGUGGCGAAGGCGGCUCACUGGCCCGGUACUGACGCUGAGGCACGAAAGCGUGGGGAGCAAACAGG